GCGUCCUGCCUUUCAGGCAUCCUCUCCCAAAACUUUCAAGCCGGCCCUCGGGUCGGCUUUUUCUUUGGACUAU
rnacentral:sRNA from 1 species